rnacentral:rRNA from 1 species
GAUGAACGCUGGCGGCGUGCCUAAUACAUGCAAGUCGAGCGAACAGACGAGGAGCUUGCUCCUCUUACGUUAGCGGCGGACGGGUGAGUAACACGUGGAUAACCUACCUAUAAGACUGGGAUAACUUCGGGAAACCGGAGCUAAUACCGGAUAAUAUAUUGAACCGCAUGGUUCAAUAGUGAAAGACGGCUUUGCUGUCACUUAUAGAUGGAUCCGCGCCGCAUUAGCUAGUUGGUAAGGUAACGGCUUACCAAGGCAACGAUGCGUAGCCGACCUGAGAGGGUGAUCGGCCACACUGGAACUGAGACACGGUCCAGACUCCUACGGGAGGCAGCAGUAGGGAAUCUUCCGCAAUGGGCGAAAGCCUGACGGAGCAACGCCGCGUGAGUGAUGAAGGUCUUCGGAUCGUAAAACUCUGUUAUUAGGGAAGAACAAAUGUGUAAGUAACUAUGCACGUCUUGACGGUACCUAAUCAGAAAGCCACGGCUAACUACGUG